AACGAACGCUGGCGGCAUGCCUAACACAUGCAAGUCGAACGAAGCCUUCGGGCUUAGUGGCGCACGAGUGCGUAACGCGUGGGAAUCUGCCCCUCGGUUCGGAAUAACAGUUAGAAAUGACUGCUAAUACCGGAUGAUGACGAAAGUCCAAAGAUUUAUCGCCGAGGGAUGAGCCCGCGUAGGAUUAGCUUGUUGGUGGGGUAAUGGCCCACCAAGGCGACGAUCCUUAGCUGGUCUGAGAGGAUGAUCAGCCACACUGGGACUGAGACACGGCCCAGACUCCUACGGGAGGCAGCAGUGGGGAAUAUUGGACAAUGGGCGAAAGCCUGAUCCAGCAAUGCCGCGUGAGUGAUGAAGGCCUUAGGGUUGUAAAGCUCUUUUACCAGGGAUGAUAAUGACAGUACCUGGAGAAUAAGCUCCGGCUAACUCCGUGCCAGCAGCCGCGGUAAU
rnacentral:rRNA from 1 species